AGAGUUUGAUCCUGGCUCAGAACGAACGCUGGCGGCAGGCUUAACACAUGCAAGUCGAACGCCCCGCAAGGGGAGUGGCAGACGGGUGAGUAACACGUGGGAACGUCCCCCUCGGUUCGGAAUAACUCAGGGAAACUUGAGCUAAUACCGAAUACGUCCGAGAGGAGAAAGAUUUAUCGCCGAGGGAUCGGCCCGCGUCUGAUUAGCUAGUUGGUGAGGUAACGGCUCACCAAGGCGACGAUCAGUAGCUGGUCUGAGGGGAUGGCCAGCCACACUGGGACUGAGACACGGCCCAGACUCCUACGGGAGGCAGCAGUGGGGAAUCUUGGACAAUGGGCGCAAGCCUGAUCCAGCCAUGCCGCGUGAGUGAUGAAGGCCUUAGGGUUGUAAAGCUCUUCGACGGGGACG
rnacentral:rRNA from 1 species